AUUUUUCAUUCUUUCUUAUUUGUUUUUACAGUUUUAAAGCCAAGGUAGUUUUUGUGUGGAGCAGAUAAUAUUCAUCUGGUAUACUGAAGAAAGCUGGUGCUUUAUUAUGGUAAAUGCAUUUGGGCAAUAUCGAACUAUCUGAUGCUUCUUGGGAGUUGGUUUCGCAUAUGUUGGCUCGAUAGCUGAUGUUUGGCUUGAGGACAAGCGCCUUUAGGAGGCAGGGAGGAAUAUUAUGGCCCUGUUGAGAGUCAAAUCCAAUUGUUAAGGGAGAAGAAAAA